AGAAGAUUGGAACCUAGAGAAUUGAAGAGUGUUGCUCAUCUCCUUGCUAUCUCCUCCCACAAGGAAGAGCUCCAUGAGAAGAGAUUUAUGUCUGUCUUGUUCUGUGAUGUAUCCCCACUGCCUAGAACAGUGUCUGGUAAUGACACUGGACAUUCAGUACACAUACAUUAAAAAAAGCACAGAAUUUGAAGGACUCUCUACCUCUUCCCAAAGCUUAUUAUGUAAGUCAAACUUUAAGAUUUCCAGUGUGGUAGAGAGAAAGCCCAGAGUAUAUGUGCCUACGCUGGCUGCUUGGCCAGGCUGUGGAUGACAGGCCUUAUUCCUCAGGAGGAACUGCAUAUCUGGAUUUGGGAGAUCUCUACCACCUUUCUAGAAGAGAAUACAACAAAACAAAGUCAUCUGCCAUUACGCAUCACAUUUCUUCUUAUUACUUCUUACCACAUGCAACUGCAUCACAGAAACCUCAGCUAAUAUCUGUCACAGAGUGCAGAAGGACAAUGAAAUUUCUGAUAACAUAUGAAUUUUAAUUUCACCGUAAAAUAAC